GUGCUCACUUCAGCAGUACGUAUACUCAAAUUGGAAUGAUACAGAGAAGAUUAGCAUGGCCCCUGCACGAGGAUGGCACACAACUUUGUGAAGUGUUCCAUAUUUUU
ensembl:snRNA U6 U6 spliceosomal RNA